AAACAGCCCCCUAUGUUUUGAUUCUUUGACAGUUUUGGACCCCCAAGGCAAAAAAAAAUAAUAAAAAAUUUGACACGUGACACCUCACUUAGGGUGCCACAUCAGCGUUGACCAAGUCAACAAUGGACUGGGGGUCCAAAACUGCCAAAGAAUCAAAACAUAGGGGGCUGUUU
rfam:Medicago truncatula strain A17 chromosome 5, whole genome shotgun sequence.